rnacentral:tRNA from 1 species
CAAGUUAUAGCAUAUAUAAUGCCACUAAUUUACACUUAGAAGAAAAAUAUAUUUAUUUUAACUUG